UCAGGAUUGAGCUGAUGGUCCGGCGCGAGGCGUGCCACCAUCUGUCCCAGCCCCUCAGGUGUGGAGUUUGACCGGGGCGGUACACCUAUCAAACGUUAACGCAAGUGUCCUAAGGCGAGCUUAGGGGGGACAGAAACCUCCCGUGGAGCAGAGGGGGAAAAGCUCACGAUCCUUCUGACUUUUGGGGUUUUAAGCAGGUGUCAGAAAAGUUACCACAGGAUUAACUGGCUCGUGGCGGCCAAGUGUUCAUAGCAAUGUCGCUUUUUGAUCCUUUGAUGUCAGCUCUUCUUAUCAUUGUGACAGAAUAUUCAUAUCAGAAUUCACCAACCGUUGGAUUGUUCGCCCACUAAUAGGGAACGUGAGCUGGGUUUAGACCAGAUGUU
rnacentral:ncRNA from 1 species